UACGUAGGGCGCAAGCGUUGUCCGGAAUUAUUGGGCGUAAAGAGCUCGUAGGCGGUUUGUCGCGUCUGCUGUGAAAACCCGAGGCUCAACCUCGGGCCUGCAGUGGGUACGGGCAGACUAGAGUGUGGUAGGGGAGACUGGAAUUCCUGGUGUAGCGGUGAAAUGCGCAGAUAGUCAGGAGGAACACCGGUGGCGAAGGCGGGUCUCUGGGCCGUAAC
rnacentral:rRNA from 1 species